AAGCUUAAGAAAAAUGGUAUUUUUUUUACUGAGGAAUAGAUUAUUUAUCAUAAAAUCAUGACUCAGAAAAGGGUACCUUGUCUUAAAUUUACCCAGUACAUAAAAUUUAUCAGAUAUUUUUAGAAUGCCAGAUUAUCAGAAUUUAACACAUUAGUUUAAAAUUUAACCAGUAGUAACAAAGAAAUAAGUCAAUGGAAACUUCUUUAAUUAUCUAAGAAGCAUUGCUUAUAUUAAUUAUGUAAUACAUGGACAUUUAUUCAUUUAUUUUACAUUUAUUCAAAAUAUAUUAAAAGCCUCUAACAUUUGUUUUCCUAAUGUUAAUCAGCCAUUAUCUGUAGUUAGGAAAGACUGAGCCAAAAAUGACUAUUCACCAUUACAAAGAAUGAAACUAGAAAACCUGAAGAAAGAUCCAUUUUCCAAAACCUGAAGGCUGCUCUACUAUGGAAACACUUUGAAUUUUUAUGAGACUGAAGUAUAAAUCAAGAAUAAAUUGACGAGGUCUUUAAUGGUCUCUAUAUAGAGUUGUCAAGCCAGAAUUAUGUAUACAUUUGUUUUU